GGAGACUUGUCCGAGUGGCUGAAGGAGCACGCUUGGAAAGCGUGUGUAGGGGCAACUCUACCGAGGGUUCGAAUCCCUCAGUCUCCG
rnacentral:tRNA from 1 species